AAUUGUUGUAUCCAGAUUUCCUCUUCUUCCAUCAACUUUAGGAAUUUGGCCAAUGGAAUACAUAUUUACAUUUUUGUUUUGCUUCAACUCAGAAAAUCAGCUUGUUAUAAUUCAACCGCAAUUCUUGAACUGUUAUGUUUUCUUUUGGUUUUCUCUAAAUAGCACGGCAUACUAUGGAUGCACAGCGGAACCAGUUAACUUUCUAUUUGUCACCCGGCUAUGUU
rnacentral:lncRNA from 1 species